AGAGUUUGAUUCUGGCUCAGGACGAACGCUGGCGGCGUGCCUAACACAUGCAAGUCGAACGAAGCAUUAAGACGGAAACCUUCGGGAGGAAGACUUAAUGACUUAGUGGCGGACGGGUGAGUAACGCGUGAGCAACCUGCCUUUCGGAGAGGGACAACGUUUGGAAACGGACGCUAAUACCUCAUGAGAUAGUAGAGUCGCAUGUCUUAGCUAUCAAAGAUUUAUCGCCGAGAGAUGGGCUCGCGUCCGAUUAGAUAGUUGGUGAGGUAACGGCUCACCAAGUCGACGAUCGGUAGCCGGACUGAGAGGUUGAACGGCCACAUUGGGACUGAGACACGGCCCAGACUCCUACGGGAGGCAGCAGUGGGGGAUAUUGCACAAUGGGGGGAACCCUGAUGCAGCAACGCCGCGUGAGGGAAGACGGUUUUCGGAUUGUAAACCUCUGUCCUUGGUAACGAAGAAAGUGACGGUAGCCGAGGAGGAAGCCACGGCUAACUACGUGCCAGCAGCCGCGGUAAUACGUAGGUGGCGAGCGUUGUCCGGAAUUACUGGGUGUAAAGGGAGCGCAGGCGGGGAAGCAAGUCAGCUGUGAAAACCACGGGCUUAACCUGUGGACUGCAGUUGAAACUGUUUUUCUUGAGAGAAGUAGAGGUAGGCGGAAUUCCGAGUGUAGCGGUGAAAUGCGUAGAUAUUCGGAGGAACACCGGUGGCGAAGGCGGCCUACUGGGCUUCAACUGACGCUGAGGCUCGAAAGUGUGGGGAGCAAACAGGAUUAGAUACCCUGGUAGUCCACACUGUAAACGAUGAUUGCUAGGUGUGGGGGGACUGACCCCUUCCGUGCCGGAGUUAACGCAAUAAGCAAUCCACCUGGGGAGUACGACCGCAAGGCUGAAACUCAAAGGAAUUGACGGGGGCCCGCACAAGCAGUGGAUUAUGUGGUUUAAUUCGAAGCAACGCGAAGAACCUUACCAGGUCUUGACAUCCGACUAACGAGAUAGAGAUAUGUCAGGUGCCCUUCGGGGAAAGUCGAGACAGGUGGUGCAUGGUUGUCGUCAGCUCGUGUCGUGAGAUGUUGGGUUAAGUCCCGCAACGAGCGCAACCCCUGCCAUUAGUUGCUACGCAAGAGCACUCUAAUGGGACCGCUACCGACAAGGUGGAGGAAGGCGGGGACGACGUCAAAUCAUCAUGCCCCUUAUGACCUGGGCUACACACGUAAUACAAUGGCCAUUAACAGCAAGAAGCGAAAUCGUGAGAUAGAGCAAAACUCUAAAAAUGGUCUCAGUUCGGAUCGCAGGCUGCAACCCGCCUGCGUGAAGUUGGAAUUGCUAGUAAUCGCGGAUCAGCAUGUCGCGGUGAAUACGUUCCCGGGCCUUGCACACACCGCCCGUCA
rnacentral:rRNA from 1 species